UACAGAGGUCUCAAGCGUUGUUCGGAAUCACUGGGCGUAAAGGGUGCGUAGGCCGCACGGUAAGUCAGAGGUGAAAUCCCGGAGCUCAACUUCGGAAUUGCCUCCGAUACUGCCGCGCUUGAGGACUGGAGAGGAGAUUGGAAUUCACAGUGGAGCAGUGAAAUGCGUAGAUAUUGUGAGGAACACUAGUGGCGAAGGCGAAUCUCUGGACAGUUCCUGACGCUGAGGCACGAAGGCCAGGGGAGCAAACGGG
rnacentral:rRNA from 1 species